CCUACGGGAGGCAGCAGUGAGGAAUAUUGGUCAAUGGGCGGGAGCCUGAACCAGCCAAGUCGCGUGAGGGAAGAAGGUACUGAGUAUUGUAAACCUCUUUUGCCAGGGGCCAAAGGCGGCCACGGGUGCCCGUAGGGGGUUCCCUGGAGAAAAAGCUUCGGCUAACUCGGUGCCAGCGGCCGCGGUAAUACGUAGGUGGCAAGCGUUAUCCGGAUUUACUGGGUGUAAGGGGCGUGUAGGCGGGGACGCAAGUCAGAUGUGAAAACCAUGGGCUCAACCUGUGGCCUGCAUUUGAAACUGUGUUUCUUGAGUACUGGAGAGGCAGACGGAAUUCCUAGUGUAGCGGUGAAAUGCGUAGAUAUUAGGAGGAACACCAGUGGCGAAGGCGGUCUGCUGGACAGCAACUGACGCUGAGGCGCGAAAGCGUGGGGAGCAAACAGGAUUAGAUACCCUAGUAGUC
rnacentral:rRNA from 1 species